AACGAACGCUGGCGGCAGGCUUAACACAUGCAAGUCGAACGCCCCGCAAGGGGAGUGGCAGACGGGUGAGUAACGCGUGGGAAUCUACCGUACCCUACGGAAUAACGCAUGGAAACGUGUGCUAAUACCGUAUACGCCCUACGGGGGAAAGAUUUAUCGGGGUAUGAUGAGCCCGCGUUGGAUUAGCUAGUUGGUGGGGUAAAGGCCUACCAAGGCGACGAUCCAUAGCUGGUCUGAGAGGAUGAUCAGCCACAUUGGGACUGAGACACGGCCCAAACUCCUACGGGAGGCAGCAGUGGGGAAUAUUGGACAAUGGGCGCAAGCCUGAUCCAGCCAUGCCGCGUGAGUGAUGAAGGCCUUAGGGUUGUAAAGCUCUUUCACCGGAGAAGAUAAUGGCGGUAUCCGGAGAAGAAGCCCCGGCUAACUUCGUGCCAGCAGCCGCCGUAAUAC
rnacentral:rRNA from 1 species